rnacentral:rRNA from 1 species
CCCCUAGAUGUUCUGGGCCGCACGCGCGCUACACUGAACAGUUCAACAAGUCUUAACCUUGGCCGAUAGGUCUGGGUAAUCUUUGAACGCUGUUCGUGAUUGGGAUAGACCUUUGCAAUUAUGGGUCUUCAACGAGGAAUUCCUAGUAAACGCAAGUCAUCAGCUUGCAUUGAUUACGUCCCUGCCCUUUGUACACACCGCCCGUCGCACCUACCGAUUGAAUGGUCCGAUGAAAUCUCGGGACGGCGGCUUGGUCGCUUGCGUCCGACUGCUGAAACUUGAUUAAACCAUAUCAUUUAGAGGAAGGUGAANUCGUAACA